GGGCCCCGCUCCCCAUGUAGGAGGGAGGACCGAGGCCGGGGUGGAUGGUGCGAGGGGCGGGCGCGGAGGGAGUUUGAAGUUCGGGGCUUUCGCGGAGUCCCCCCCUCGCCGUUCCCGAGCGCAGCGGGGGAGGAAUGCCAAAUCCGGAGAGACAUGGGGGCAAGAAGGACGGCGGCGGGGGGUCCUCGCAGCCGGGCAGCGGGAGCUCCAACAGCAAGGAGAGGCACCGGGCGGGCUCCAGGCACAAGAGGCACAAGUCCAGGCACUCCAAGGAGUCCCCGCUGGCGGCCCAGGAAGCGGCGGCGCCCCUGGGAGCGGUGAUCAAGCCGCUGGUGGAGUACGAUGACAUCAGCUCGGACUCGGACACCUUCUCGGACGAUGUGGCCCUCAAGCUGGACAGGAGGGACAACGAGGAGAGGAGGGCGGAGAGGAGCGAGAGGGCCCAGAAGCACCGGCACCACCAGCACAAACGACUCCGGGAGCUGAUGAAGAGCAAACAGGCGGAGAAAGACAGGAAGUUGGAAAAGAGCCUGGAUGCUUCCAGCAGGUCCGCCAAGGAGAGGAUAUCGGGAUCCUCCAAGAGGCUCCUGGAGAGCGAGGAGCACCCCAAGGCGCUCUCCUCCAAGAGCAGCAACAAGGAGUCGCGCUCGGCCAAGGCGCACAAGGAGAAAUCCAGGAAGGAGCGGGAGCUCAAGUCCAGCCACAAAGAGCGCAGCAAAAGCCAUCGGAAAAGGGAUGCUCCCAAAAGUUACAAAACCAUCGACAGCCCCAAGAGGAAAUCCAGGAGCCCUCACAGGAAAUGGUCGGACAGCCCCAAACUGGACGACAGCCCUUCGGGAGCCUCCUACGUGCAGGAGUACGACCUCAGCCCGCCCCGCUCGCACACCUCCAGCACCUACGAUCCCUACAGGAAGAGCCCCGGCGGCUCCUCACGCCGCCAGUCCCUCAGCCCGCCCUACAAGGAGCCCGUGGGCUACCAGUCCAACGCCCGCUCGCCCAGCCCCUACAGCCGGCGGCAGCGCUCCGUCAGCCCCUACGGCCGGAGGCGCUCGUCCAGCUACGAGCGGGGCAGCGGCUCCUACGGCGGGAGGUCCCCGAGCCCCUACGGCCGCCGCCGCUCCAGCAGCCCCUUCGCCUCCAAGCGCUCCGUGAGCCGGAGCCCCAUCGCCAGGAAAUCCGUCAAGUCCCGGAGCCGCAGUCCUGGCUACUCCAGACACUCAUCUCACAGCAAAAAGCAGAGGUCUGGCUCCCGCAGUCGCCAUUCCAGCAUCUCCCCGACCAGGCUCCCGCUCAACUCCAGCCUGGGAGCAGAGCUCAGCAGGAAGAAGAAGGAGCGAGCGGCCGCGGCAGCCGCUGCAGCCAAGGUGGACGGGAAGGAGGCGAAAGGCUCCCCUGUUUUCCUGGCGAGGAAGGAGAACAGCUUGGCUGAACUGAAGGAGGCUGGGACGGAGUCUAAAAAGGUCACCAAAACUGUUAAAUCUGAGAAAGCUCCGGACACGGACUCGGUUAAUUUACUGUACACGAACGCAGAGCCGAAAGCCCCUGCGGAGACAACGAAAUCCAAGGCAGAGGAGAACUCGGAGAGGAAACAUCCUGUUCCACUUAGGGAUUCCAAACCCACGGGAACAAAGGACUCGAAGCCUGCAGCGGUGGUAGAGGACCUGAUAUCUCCAAAGGAGACAGACACAGCAGAGAAGGAGAUCCCACCCCCUCUCCCCAGCAUCAAAUCCCCUCCUCCACCUCUGCCCACCACCACCCCUCCGCCUCCCACGCCGCCGCUGCCGCCGCUGCCUCCGUCACCCGCUGUCCCACCUUUGCCUCCAGCCCCAGUGACUCCUGUUCAGGCCCCUCCUUCGGCCCCAACGUCUUUGCCAUCUUCUUCCCACCCAAGGACGUCUACUUUAUCCUCUCAGGUGAACUCCCAGUCCUCUGUCCAGGUGGCUACAAAAACCCAAGUGUCUGUGACGGCUGCUAUCCCACACCUGAAAACUUCCACCUUGCCUCCGCUUCCGCUCCCCCCUAUUUUAGUUGGGGAAGAUGACUUGGAUAGUCCAAAAGAGAUUCUUCCUCCAAAACCUGUGAAGAAAGACAGAGAGCAGAGACCACGACACUUACUCACGGACCUCCCGCUCCCCCCAGAGCUCCCUGGGGGGGACCCAUCUCCUCCCGACUCCCCAGAACCAAAGGCAGCCACACCACCUCAGCAACCCUUCAAAAAGAGACCAAAAAUCUGUUGUCCUCGCUACGGGGAGAGGAGACAGACGGAGAGCGACUGGGGCAAGCGCUGCGUGGACAAGUUCGACAUCAUCGGGAUAAUCGGAGAAGGGACGUACGGGCAGGUGUACAAAGCCAAGGACAAGGACACAGGUGAGCUGGUGGCUCUGAAGAAGGUGCGCCUGGACAACGAGAAGGAAGGAUUCCCCAUCACAGCCAUCCGCGAGAUCAAAAUCCUGCGGCAGCUCAUCCACCGCAGCGUCGUCAACAUGAAGGAGAUCGUCACGGACAAGCAAGAUGCACUGGAUUUCAAGAAGGACAAAGGUGCCUUUUACCUUGUGUUUGAGUACAUGGACCAUGACCUAAUGGGGCUGCUAGAAUCUGGCUUGGUACAUUUCUCAGAGGACCAUAUCAAGUCUUUCAUGAAACAGUUAAUGGAGGGUCUGGAUUACUGUCACAAAAAGAAUUUCCUUCAUCGAGACAUCAAGUGCUCCAACAUCUUACUGAACAACAGUGGGCAGAUCAAACUUGCAGAUUUUGGGCUCGCCCGGCUCUACAGCUCAGAGGAGAGCCGUCCCUACACCAACAAAGUCAUCACGUUGUGGUACCGACCCCCAGAGCUGCUGCUGGGGGAGGAGCGUUACACCCCUGCCAUCGACGUGUGGAGCUGUGGCUGUAUCCUCGGGGAACUGUUUACAAAGAAGCCUAUUUUUCAAGCCAAUCUGGAACUGGCUCAGCUUGAAUUAAUCAGCCGGCUGUGUGGGAGCCCCUGCCCAGCCGUGUGGCCAGAUGUCAUCAAGCUGCCCUACUUCAACACUAUGAAGCCCAAGAAGCAAUACCGGCGGCGCCUGCGCGAGGAGUUCUCCUUCAUUCCCUCGUCUGCCCUGGACCUGCUGGACCACAUGCUGACGCUGGACCCCGGCAAGCGCUGCACAGCAGAGCAGGCCCUGCACAGUGACUUCCUGAAGGAUGUUGACCUCAGCAAAAUGGCACCUCCAGACCUCCCCCACUGGCAGGAUUGCCACGAGCUGUGGAGCAAGAAGCGCCGGCGGCAGCGGCAGAGCGGGAUGGCCGUGGAGGAGCCUCCGGUAUCAAAAGUUUCUCGGAAAGAAACUACCUCUGUUACCAGCACAGACACUGUGAAAAACAACAGCAGUCCUGUGCCCCCCCAGCCUGCCCAGCUCAAAGCAGAGCCUGGUGCUGCAGAUGCAGUAGGCCUGGGCGACAUCACCCAGCAGCUGAACCAGAGCGAGCUGGCCGUGCUCCUGAACCUGCUGCAGAGCCAGACCGACCUGAGCGUGCCGCAGAUGGCCCAGCUGCUCAACGUCCACUCCAACCCCGAGAUGCAGCAGCAGCUGGAGGCUCUCAACCAGUCCAUCACGGCCCUGACCGAGGCCACGGCGCAGCACCACGAGCCCGCGGCGGCGGCGGCGGAGGAGACGGCGGAGGAGCCGCCCGCGGAGGUGGCGGAGGAGCAGCAGACUCCGGACGCAGGCAGCGCUCAGGGAGACAUGCAGAACGUGCUGGCCGUUCUGCUGAGCCAGCUGAUGAAGAGCCAGGAGCCUGGGAUAACCCUGGAGGAGAGCAACGGGGAGAAGAGCAGCGAGCAGCGGGGGCCCAGGAAAACCCCGACGAGGCACCCCGAGGACAGCACAGCGUGUCCUCCCGGCAUUGUCCCACCAGAGAAGAGACCCCCCGAGCCCCCCGGACCGCCGCCGCCUCCUCCGGUGCCCGAAGGGGAUCCCUGCGGUGCAGCCCAGGAGUUGAACCCGGCCGUGACGGCUGCGCUGCUCCAGCUCCUUUCCCAGCCGGACCCGGAGCCGCUCGGCCUCGCCGCGCAGGAGCCCCCGGACUACGGCCGCUCCCACCCCGCCAGGACUUACAGCACCGACGGCUCCCAGGGGGGAUUCGGUGCCGAGGAGCUCAGUGCGGGCCAGACUCUGCUAGAACCUUCUGCCCAAGCCCUGGGGAAAAGCAGGACCUUCUUGGGCUCCGUGAGCCACCUCGGGGAGAGCAGCAGCUACCAGGGCACGGGCUCGCUGCAGUUCCCGGGGGACCAGGACCUGCGCUUCGCCAGAGCCCCCGUCCCCAUCCACCCGCUCGGCCAAUCCUUCCCCAAAUCCGAGGGGAGCAACAGCAACGCUCUGCCACAUCCAGAGGCCAAAACGCAGAGUUACGGCGAGCUGGGGCCGGGAGCAGGCGGUUCCAGCGGGGCAGGAACAGGUCACGGCUGGGGUGCCCCAAGCCAGGCACCGUCUCCCUAUGGGAAGGCAUUCCGAGGGCCUGGCCGAGUGCCUCCAAGGGGGGGCCGGGGCCGGGGGGUUCCCUACUGACAUUCCUGGGAUUCCCCCCUUGCCUCUCCUCCUUUAGCCACAGGACUUGAUUUUUAUUUUAUUUUUUUUUAUUAUUCCCUUUUUUUUUUUAAUUUUUUUUUGGCCAGAGCAAGGUCUCGUCCGCAUUUCAGCUGCUGCAGAAAUCCCUGGGCAUCCCUCAGGGUCCCCACUGGCCUCCCGUGCUUGGUUUAGUGACAAAAAUAAUCCCAACCUCCAGCAAACUGAGCCAGGAGAGGGGGGGAUUGAUGGAAAAGUAGGAAUGGAAGGAAGAAGGAAUUAAAAAAAUGCAGUUUCCCCAAGCUGGGCACUGGAGUUUGCUGCUGGGUCAGGGAGGGCUGGGGGGAGGCCGCUUCCCAAAGCAUUUUUUAUUUUUUUCUGUCGUUGUUUUGUUUGUUUUCCCCAUUUCCUCAAGGGAAAAAAAAAUAAAAUAAAAAUGAAAAAGGGGAAUUUAUUGCUGCAGAGGCACCUGGAUGGGUUAUCCCAGUAGUGGGGACCUGGGAUGUGACACUGGUUGUGUUUUCAUUUCUUUGAUGUUGUUUUCUUGCCAUAAAAGAUCCAUUUUUCCCUCUGCUGCAGGGCCAGUCCUGUCCCCUGUGACAGCAGCCUUAGUACAUUGAUUUUUGGGAAGGGUCUCCAGGUGUUGCAUCCCUCCUGCUGUAACUUGGCAGUGAGAAUUAUCUUCUUUUUUCCUUUUUUUGGUGGAUUUUAUUUUUAAUUUUUAUUUUUUUUUAAGAGCCGAGGAGAACACCUCCCUGAAAAAAAAAAAAAACAAAAAAAAACAGGGAUUUCUAUCAUUUAUAACUUCCAGAACACUUCAAGAAUUAUAAAAAAGGAAACAAAAAUCCCAACACCUGGUGGGAUUUGCCACCAGAUGGGAGCGAUUUAUCCCCGGAAUCCUGAGCUGGUGCUGCCCAUCCUGCCAAGGUCGGUUCCAUCUCAGCCCUUUGAGGUUUCCCAGGUGUUCCUGUGUCAUUUCCACGAGAAUAUUUCUAUUUUUGUUGUUGUCAAGGAAGUAUUUACGGUGGAUUUUUCUCCUCCCACAGACCCUUGCGCUGUUCAUUUCAAUGAGACUUAAAAAGAGAUGAAUAAAACAAAGCUCAUACCUGAUGUACAGAGAGAAGUUCUGUGAGACACUGAACCCACCAAGGGGCUUUGGAGGGGUUGAAUUUGAUGAUUUUCCCUUUCCCCCUGGAGCUGCUGUUGUUUUUCUUCCCAAUCCCAUCCCCUUUGGAAGGAAAAGUCUCGUUCCUGAGCUGGAUCCUCUCAGGAAGGCGAUGCCUGUUUAUUGUCUCUCCAAACUGUUUAUAAAAAUGGAGAAGUGAAGAUUGGAAAAUUAAAUAUUUCCUGUUACUGUA